rnacentral:lncRNA from 1 species
GUACAAACACUAAUAAUUUUCCCAUAAGUCAAGGAAUCAUAAGGAAUUUUAUUAUGCGAACCACGUAAAUGCUUUCUCACUCUUUCCGCAAAAAUCGAAGGUAAACCACCAAUAAAUUUAGACUUUCAAUGCUCAUGACUACAAUCAUGCAAUUCCAUAACACGACUUAAGAAUACAUCUUUAUUCCAUCUAAAAUCAGAUAAUUGUCUACAACG